rnacentral:rRNA from 1 species
UACGGGGGGAGCAAGCGUUGUUCGGAUUUACUGGGCGUAAAGGGCGCGUAGGCGGUCAGCACAAGUCAGUUGUGAAAUCUCCGGGCUUAACUCGGAAAGGUCAACUGAUACUGUGCGACUAGAGUGCAGAAGGGGCAACUGGAAUUCUCGGUGUAGCGGUGAAAUGCGUAGAUAUCGUAAGGAAGACCAGUGGCGAAGGCGAGUCUCUGGACAGUUACUGACGCUGAGGCACGAAGGCCAGGGGAGCAAACGGG